rnacentral:rRNA from 1 species
GACGAACGCUGGCGGCGUGCCUAAUACAUGCAAGUCGAGCGCAGGAAGCCGUCUGAACCCUUCGGGGGGACGACGGUGGAAUGAGCGGCGGACGGGUGAGUAACACGUAAAGAACCUGCCCAUAGGUCUGGGAUAACCACGAGAAAUCGGGGCUAAUACCGGAUGUGUCAUCGGAUCGCAUGGUCCGCUGAUGAAAGGCGCUCCGGCGUCGCCGAUGGAUGGCUUUGCGGUGCACUAGCUAGUUGGUGGGGUAACGGCCCACCAAGGCGACGAUGCAUAGCCGACCUGAGAGGGUGAUCGGCCACACUGGGACUGAGACACGGCCCAGACUCCUACGGGAGGCAGCAGUAGGGAAUCUUCCUCAAUGGACGAAAGUCUGAUGGAGCAACGCCGCGUGAACGAUGAAGGCUUUCGGGUCGUAAAGUUCUGUUGUAAGGGAAGAACAAGUGCCGCAGGCAAUGGCGGCACCUUGACGGUACCUUGCGAGAAAGCCACGGCUAACUACGUGCCAGCCGCCGCCGUAA